AACGAACGCUGGCGGCAGGCUUAACACAUGCAAGUCGAACGCCCCGCGAGGGGAGUGGCAGACGGGUGAGUAACGCGUGGGAAUCUACCUAGUUCUACGGAACAACUGAGGGAAACUUCAGCUAAUACCGUAUACGCCCUACGGGGGAAAGAUUUAUCGGAUUUGGAUGAGCCCGCGUAAGAUUAGCUAGUUGGUGGGGUAAUGGCCUACCAAGGCGACGAUCUUUAGCUGGUCUGAGAGGAUGAUCAGCCACACUGGGACUGAGACACGGCCCAGACUCCUACGGGAGGCAGCAGUGGGGAAUAUUGGACAAUGGGCGCAAGCCUGAUCCAGCCAUGCCGCGUGAGUGAUGAAGGCCUUAGGGUUGUAAAGCUCUUUCAGUAGGGAAGAUAAUGACGGUACCUACAGAAGAAGCCCCGGCUAACUUCGUGCCAGCAGCCGCCGUAACAC
rnacentral:rRNA from 1 species